rnacentral:sRNA from 1 species
GUCGUGAGAUGUUGGGUUAAGUCCCGCAACGAGCGCAACCCCUGUCUUCAGUUGCCAACGGGAAAGCCGGGCACUCUGGAGAGACUGCCGACGUUAAGUCGGAGGAAGGUGGGGAUGACGUCAAGUCCUCAUGGCCCUUAUGCCCAGGGCUACACACGUGCUACAAUGGCUGGUACAAAGGGUUGCGAGCUCGCGAGAGUAAGCCAAUCUCAAAAAACCAGUCUCAGUUCGGAUAGAAGUCUGCAACUCGACUUCUUGAAGUCGGAAUCGCUAGUAAUCCCGGAUCAGCACGCCGGGGUGAAUACGUUCCCGGGCCUUGUACACACCGCCCGUCACACCAUGGGAGUCAGUUGCUCCAGAAGUGGCUUGCCUAACCGUAAGGAGGGCGGUCCCUAAGGAGUGGCUGGUAACUGGGGUGAAGUCGUAACAAGGUAACCGUAGGGGAACCUGCGGUUGGAUCACCUCCUUUCUGGAAUCUCUCGGUCCCUCGGGACCGAGGACAACCGGUCAAUCCCGAAUCCUUUCUCUCUUCGCGUUCAGUUUUGAAGGACCGACCCUCGCCCCCCACGCGAUACGUCUCGGGGGAUUAGCUCAGUUGGGAGAGCGCGGGCUUUGCAAGCCUGAGGUCGAGGGUUCGAAUCCCUUAUCCUCCAUCCAGAGGACUGACAAUCGAAUAGCAGGACGAAGCGCGAAUCUUACGUUGUAUUCUAACGUGCGAGAUUCGCUGAGUCUAUAGAGGCAGCGCGACGCUUUCGGUCGCGCUGUGGUAAAUCUCGAAAAGCGAACCUUGGCCUUGACCCCGCAGGGGGUCCUCCUCGGAGGAUCCCGACAGGCUGGUGGUCAAGCUACUAAGGGCACUCGGUGGAUGCCUUGGCGUCAGGAGGCGAUGAAGGACGUGGUUAGCUGCGAUAAGCUGCGCGGAGCCGCAAGCAGGCGUCGAUACGCAGAUGU